CCAACUUGUUGUAUGAGCCACCGCCCCUCCAGUACAUGCCCAUUACAUACUCCCCUGCAUCCCUUGGACUGGGAUGCUCUAUGUUCAGAGUGAGUUUGAUGGGGGUUGACCCAAUAGGUUUACUUAAGGUCAUUCUGGAGAGUAGGGGUUUCCCGUCUUUGUCAAUUCUGUCUAGGGCACUCUGGGGUUUAUAGCCCCAUGAUCUACCUGUAUUCCACCCAGCCGCCUUCCAUGAACUACAAUGAUGUCCCCAUGACCCCCCUGUUACGCAGAUAUAUGGGUCCUUCCUUCUGGGUAUGUCCUUGUAUAUAGCAGCAUAUUGUGUUUGUGGGAAGGUGCAAGUAACAAUAUCACAGUAAUCAAAAGAAAAGGUAGCCACAUCUGUGUUUGAGGAAUUGUACCAAAAAGUGUAAACAUGGUUAUCUUUGGUUAUAGCCACUUGCCCCUUGCCCCUGUAAAGUUUAGCAGCAAGAGAAAACACAAGGAACACAGAAAACUCAUGGCUCAGCAGGGGCAACUUCUUCCGGAGCAGGCACUUUCUUGCAGUGUGAAGCGUGUAUCCAGGAAC